UCUACGGGAGGCAGCAGUGGGGAAUAUUGCACAAUGGGCGCAAGCCUGAUGCAGCGACGCCGCGUGAGGGAUGACGGCCUUCGGGCUGUAAACCUCUUUCAGUAGGGAACAAGGCUACACGUUGUGUGGUUGAGGGUUCUUGCAGAAGAAGCGCCGGCUAACUACGUGCCAGCAGCCGCGGUAAUACGUAGGGCGCAAGCGUUAUCCGGAAUUAUUGGGCGUAAAGAGCUCGUAGGCGGUUUGUCGCGUCUGCCGUGAAAGUCCGGGGCUCAACCCCGGAUCUGCGGUGGGUACGGGCAGACUAGAGUGAUGUAGGGGAGACUGGAAUUCCUGGUGUAGCGGUGAAAUGCGCAGAUAUCAGGAGGAACACCGAUGGCGAAGGCAGGUCUCUGGGCAUUAACUGACGCUGAGGAGCGAAAGCAUGGGGAGCGAACAGGAUUAGAUACCCUGGUAGUCCAU
rnacentral:rRNA from 1 species